UUGGAACUGGACAGCAGAGGGGCGUGGAGAAUUUGAAGCAUGAGGCUGGCAUGGUAUGCAAAGACAUACUGACAGAAUAGUAGAUCCAGGAGUGAAAGAAACCCUGAAAGCCAUCAAUGUUCAUCUGCGGCAAAAUUCCUGAAAGCGAAAGACUCCCUGGAGCGCAUCUAACCAAGGAUGGGAAGCAUUUAUCGAGAAAUGACA
rnacentral:lncRNA from 1 species